rnacentral:rRNA from 1 species
GGUUAAGCGACUAAGCGUACACGGUGGAUGCCCUGGCAGUCAGAGGCGAUGAAGGGCGUGCUAAUCUGCGAUAAGCGCCGGUAAGGUGAUAUGAACCGUUAUAACCGGCGAUACCCGAAUGGGGAAACCCAGUGUGUUUCGACACACUAUCAUUAACUGAAUCCAUAGGUUAAUGAGGCGAACCGGGGGAACUGAAACAUCUAAGUACCCCGAGGAAAAGAAAUCAACCGAGAUUCCCCCAGUAGCGGCGAGCGAACGGGGAGGAGCCCAGAGCCUGAAUCAGCAUGUGUGUUAGUGGAAGCGUCUGGAAAGGCGCGCGAUACAGGGUGACAGCCCCGUACACAAAAGCGCAUGUGCUGUGAGCUCGAUGAGUAGGGCGGGACACGUGGUAUCCUGUCUGAAUAUGGGGGGACCAUCCUCCAAGGCUAAAUACUCCUGACUGACCGAUAGUGAACCAGUACCGUGAGGGAAAGGCGAAAAGAACCCCGGCGAGGGGAGUGAAAAAGAACCUGAAACCGUGUACGUACAAGCAGUGGGAGCCCCACCACUAAGCCAGUGGUGAACUCCACAUACGCAUCCUUUGCUGAGGAUACGGUUAACGGAGCGAAAGCGACGUUCAACCUCAAAAGAAGCAGAGGGGGCUUAGUGGUGGGGUGACUGCGUACCUUUUGUAUAAUGGGUCAGCGACUUAUAUUCUGUAGCAAGGUUAACCGAAUAGGGGAGCCGGAGGGAAACCGAGUCUUAACCGGGCGUUAAGUUGCAGGGUAUAGACCCGAAACCCGGUGAUCUAGCCAUGGGCAGGUUGAAGGUUGGGUAACACUAACUGGAGGACCGAACCGACUAAUGUUGAAAAAUUAGCGGAUGACCUGUGGCUGGGGGUGAAAGGCCAAUCAAACCGGGAGAUAGCUGGUUCUCCCCGAAAGCUAUUUAGGUAGCGCCUCGUGAAUUCAUCUCCGGGGGUAGAGCACUGUUUCGGCUAGGGGGCCAUCCCGGCUUACCAACCCGAUGCAAACUGCGAAUACCGGAGAAUGUUAUCACGGGAGACACACGGCGGGUGCUAACGUCCGUCGUGAAGAGGGAAACAACCCAGACCGCCAGCUAAGGUCCCAAAGUCAUGGUUAAGUGGGAAACGAUGUGGGAAGGCCCAGACAGCCAGGAUGUUGGCUUAGAAGCAGCCAUCAUUUAAAGAAAGCGUAAUAGCUCACUGGUCGAGUCGGCCUGCGCGGAAGAUGUAACGGGGCUAAACCAUGCACCGAAGCUGCGGCAGCGACGCUGAUGCGUUGUUGGGUAGGGGAGCGUUCUGUAAGCCUGCGAAGGUGGCCUGUGAGGGUUGCUGGAGGUAUCAGAAGUGCGAAUGCUGACAUAAGUAACGAUAAAGCGGGUGAAAAGCCCGCUCGCCGGAAGACCAAGGGUUCCUGUCCAACGUUAAUCGGGGCAGGGUGAGUCGACCCCUAAGGCGAGGCCGAAAGGCGUAGUCGAUGGGAAACGGGUUAAUAUUCCCGUACUUGGUGUUACUGCGAAGGGGGGACGGAGAAGGCUAUGUUGGCCGGGCGACGGUUGUCCCGGUUUAAGCGUGUAGGUGUGUGUUCCAGGUAAAUCCGGUUCACUUUAACACUGAGGCGUGAUGACGAGGCACUACGGUGCUGAAGCAACAAAUGCCCUGCUUCCAGGAAAAGCCUCUAAGCAUCAGGUAACAUCAAAUCGUACCCCAAACCGACACAGGUGGUCAGGUAGAGAAUACCAAGGCGCUUGAGAGAACUCGGGUGAAGGAACUAGGCAAAAUGGUGCCGUAACUUCGGGAGAAGGCACGCUGACAUGUAGGUGAAGUGAUUUACUCAUGGAGCUGAAGUCAGUCGAAGAUACCAGCUGGCUGCAACUGUUUAUUAAAAACACAGCACUGUGCAAACACGAAAGUGGACGUAUACGGUGUGACGCCUGCCCGGUGCCGGAAGGUUAAUUGAUGGGGUCAGCGCAAGCGAAGCUCCUGAUCGAAGCCCCGGUAAACGGCGGCCGUAACUAUAACGGUCCUAAGGUAGCGAAAUUCCUUGUCGGGUAAGUUCCGACCUGCACGAAUGGCGUAAUGAUGGCCAGGCUGUCUCCACCCGAGACUCAGUGAAAUUGAACUCGCUGUGAAGAUGCAGUGUACCCGCGGCAAGACGGAAAGACCCCGUGAACCUUUACUAUAGCUUGACACUGAACAUUGAGCCUUGAUGUGUAGGAUAGGUGGGAGGCUUUGAAGUGUGGACGCCAGUCUGCAUGGAGCCGGCCUUGAAAUACCACCCUUUAAUGUUUGAUGUUCUAACGUGGACCCGUGAUCCGGGUUGCGGACAGUGUCUGGUGGGUAGUUUGACUGGGGCGGUCUCCUCCUAAAGAGUAACGGAGGAGCACGAAGGUUGGCUAAUCCUGGUCGGACAUCAGGAGGUUAGUGCAAUGGCAUAAGCCAGCUUGACUGCGAGCGUGACGGCGCGAGCAGGUGCGAAAGCAGGUCAUAGUGAUCCGGUGGUUCUGAAUGGAAGGGCCAUCGCUCAACGGAUAAAAGGUACUCCGGGGAUAACAGGCUGAUACCGCCCAAGAGUUCAUAUCGACGGCGGUGUUUGGCACCUCGAUGUCGGCUCAUCACAUCCUGGGGCUGAAGUAGGUCCCAAGGGUAUGGCUGUUCGCCAUUUAAAGUGGUACGCGAGCUGGGUUUAGAACGUCGUGAGACAGUUCGGUCCCUAUCUGCCGUGGGCGCUGGAGAACUGAGGGGGGCUGCUCCUAGUACGAGAGGACCGGAGUGGACGCAUCACUGGUGUUCGGGUUGUCAUGCCAAUGGCACUGCCCGGUAGCUAAAUGCGGAAGAGAUAAGUGCUGAAAGCAUCUAAGCACGAAACUUGCCCCGAGAUGAGUUCUCCCUGAGACUUAGAGUCUCCUGAAGGAACGUUGAAGACGACGACGUUGAUAGGCCGGGUGUGUAAGCGCAGCGAUGCGUUGAGCUAACCGGUACUAAUGAACCGUGAGGCUUAACCUU